UACGUAGGGGGCUAGCGUUGUCCGGAAUCAUUGGGCGUAAAGCGCGUGUAGGCGGUUCGGUAAGUCCGCUGUGAAAGUCGGGGGCUCAACCCUCGAAUGCCGGUGGAUACUGUCGGACUAGAGUACGGAAGAGGCGAGUGGAAUUCCUGGUGUAGUGGUGAAAUGCAUAGAUAUCAGGAGGAACACCGGUGGCGAAGGCGGUGAUCUGGGCCAGUACUGACGCUGAGGCACGAAGGCCAGGGGAGCAAACGGG
rnacentral:rRNA from 1 species